CCCUUGGUUGAUCCUGCCAGACCUGACUGCUAUCGGAUUGAUACUAAGCCAUGCGAGUCAUUGUAGCAAUACAAGGCAUACGGCUCAGUAACGCGUAGUCAACCUAACCUAUGGACGGGAAUAACCUCGGGAAACUGAGAAUAAUGCCCGAUAGAACACUAUACCUGGAAUGGUUUGUGUUCCAAAUGAUUUAUCGCCAUAGGAUGGGACUGCGGCCUAUCAGUUUGUUGGUGAGGUAAUGGCCCACCAAGACUAUUACAGGUACGGGCUCUGAGAGGAGUAGCCCGGAGAUGGGUACUGAGGCACGGACCCAGGCCCUAUGGGGCGCAGCAGGCGAGAAAACUUUGCAAUGUGCGAAAGCACGACAAGGUUAAUCCGAGUGAUUUGUGCUAAACGAAUCUUUUGUUAGUCCUAGAAACACUAACGAAUAAGGGGUGGGCAAGUUCUGGUGUCAGCCGCCGCGGUAAAACCAGCACCUCAAGUGGUCAGGAUGAUUAUUGGGCCUAAAGCAUCCGUAGCCGGCUCUGUAAGUUUUCGGUUAAAUCUGUACGCUUAACGUACAGGCUGCCGGGAAUACUGCAAAGCUAGGGAGUGGGAGAGGUAGACGGUACUCGGUAGGAAGUGGUAAAAUGCUUUGAUCUAUCGAUGACCACCUGUGGCGAAGGCGGUCUACCAGAACACGUCCGACGGUGAGGGAUGAAAGCUGGGGGAGCAAACCGGAUUAGAUACCCGGGUAGUCCCAGCUGUAAACUAUGCAAACUCAGUGAUGCAUUGGCUUGUGGCCAAUGCAGUGCUGCAGGGAAGCCGUUAAGUUUGCCGCCUGGGAAGUACGUACGCAAGUAUGAAACUUAAAGGAAUUGGCGGGGGAGCACCACAAGGGGUGAAGCCUGCGGUUCAAUUGGAUUCAACGCCGGGG
rnacentral:rRNA from 1 species